rnacentral:rRNA from 1 species
CAGUAGCCGCGGGAAUACGUAGGUGGCAAGCGUUGUCCGGAAUUAUUGGGCGUAAAGCGCGCGCAGGUGGUUUAAUAAGUCUGAUGUGAGAGCCCACGGCUCAACCGUGGAGGGUCAUUGGAAACUGUUAAACUUGAGUGCAGAAGAGAAAAGUGGAAUUCCUAGUGUAGCGGUGAAAUGCAUAGAGAUUAGGAGGAACACCAGUGGCGAAGGCGGCUUUUUGGCCUGUAACUGACACUGAGGCGCGAAAGCGUGGGGAGCAAACAGGAUUAGAUACCCCCGUAGUCCCUGUCUCUUAUAC